UACGAAGGGAGCUAGCGUUGUUCGGAAUCACUGGGCGUAAAGCGCGCGUAGGCGGCGAUACAAGUCAGAGGUGAAAUACCUGGGCUCAACCCAGGAACUGCCUUUGAAACUGUAUUGCUUGAGUGUCGGAGGGGAUAGCGGAAUUUCUAAUGUAGCGGUGAAAUGCGUAGAUAUUAGAAGGAACACCGAUGGCGAAGGCAGCUAUCUGGACGACAACUGACGCUGAGGCGCGAAAGCGUGGGGAUCAAACAGG
rnacentral:rRNA from 1 species